CAAAUUUUGUAGAACAAGCCAAUUUUUUUACAAUAAAUAUGAAGGUAAAAUCUUUGGUCGGAUAUCAUUUACUUCACCAAUAUUCAACUUGCAGUAUUCUAUUUUCAACUCCACCCUCCAACUUCUUUGCUCAGGUAUUCAAUUUAUUUUGCUAUAAUUUUUCAAUUUUAAUUAUUCCAAAUUUAAGGGGUGUUUGAGCUACAUUAUUUUGGUUAUAAUGCAUUCUUGAAUAGUGUAUUGAUAGGAAAUGUGUGGUUAAAAAAUAAGGAAAAGUUUUUGAUCUGCGUGUAAUAUUAUUUUAUUGAAGAAUGUGUGGUUGAAAUGAUGUCAAAUCACUGUUUAAGAAUGUAUUUUUUUUGGAAUAAUGUGGCUCAAACAGGCCCUUAAUAGCUACAAAUGAAUUUCAUUAAUGAUGAAGUUUUAAUCAAUUUAAGGGUAGUUCAAGUAUUCCAUCCAACUACGUUGCAUCUAAAAAUGUUCAAGAGGAAGAAGUAUUUGAAACUAAAAGGCCAAAACAAAAAAAAAAAAAAAUGGUAUUCAAAAUAUAGUGGAUAUUUGGAAAGCAUGUUGCACUUAAGGACCUUAGUUAAAAGCCUGGUUCAAGCACAUCUCAUUUGAAUAAGCACGUAGCAAGGAGCGAAAUAAGUCGGUCUCGUCCCAAAACAAACAUACUUGUUUUUAGUGGUUAUAAUUCUGCUCAUUCCAUCUUCGUAUAUUUAUAAGAAAGAUUUUGCGAAGGAAUGACUGUAUACAUAGCUACAGCUGAGAUGUCACUUAUGGUGAUAGACUCCAUUCACUUUACCCUACUAUUGUAGAACUAUUUCCAACCCAUGUAUACUCUUUAUUGUAGAAAUACUCUUUGUGCAAACACUAUAAAACUAUAUAACAAAAAAAGUUGUUAUUGAAGGUCUAUAAAUUUAUUACAGUGUUAUAUCUUUUACCGCUGAUUUAUGGAUGAUGGUAAUUAAAAAGGUUAUAUUGUUGCUAUGCCUCUUUACAUUAAUCAUCUUUGGAUUCUACAUAAAAGAGUUAUCAUUUAGAUUAGUAGAACAUCCUCAUUAUCCCACUAACAUAUACAAACUUGUUAUUGGGAAAUUUAUUAAUGAUUUUAACUCUGCAUUUGAAUUUUUUUCAUCAAAGUUAUCUAUCAGUAUAUAUCACAUUAUCAAUUUGAUUAUGUUUAGAACAUAUAGGAGGAUGAUUAGACAAAACUAAAUAAGCAAUAAAUUUUAUUACUGUGUCACCAUCAAGAAAAUAAGUAUUUAAUAGUUUGUAUGCAGAACAUGGCUUACAAGAGAUAUCAUUUGUCACUGAUGAAACAAAUAGAUGGACUCUACGUACAUGAUGUUAUAAUCAUGUGAAAGUUAUGAUAAAGAUAUUUCAAUAUAUUAUAAUGAUAGGCAUACUUACGAGCUCGAAUAUAAUAUAGAAGAUUGAGAAUGGUCUAUUGCAUUUUGUAUAAGAAAAUUUUUAUAACCUUUUUUGAUGCGACAGAGGCCUCUAAAAUUGUUUAUUCUCCUACUUCUUCACUUGUUCUGCAAUACUUUUUCUACAAUGUACAAACAUUACAUAAAUAUAGGACUUUGCUAAUUUUUGUUGAUGUAGUCUUGUUUAAGGAGUUGAAAUUUCACAAAUAUUGGAAAGAGUUGCCAUCUUUGUUUCUUUUAACUUCGGUGAUGGACAAUCCAGUUAAUUUAACUGACACACAAGCAAUUUUAAAGGAGAUUUAUAUGAAUAUGAAAUAAUCACAUGUACAUAUAUAAUCUUUAUUAUGUGAAAUGUAUAACUAUUAUACUGAAAAAAGAUUUCAGAGCAGUUCUAGUUUCCAAAAUUUUCAAGAAAUACUGCAACAAAUUCAGAUGACAUUUGAAAUUUUUUAAACACUAUUACAAGUGCUCCCUUAUUUAGUUUUAGUUCAUCCAUAUCUAGAUUGAUAGAUGUUGAUGGUACAAAUCUUGAAAUUCUUUCUGAGUUAGCCAUGUAGAUGUAUGUGAAUGUUCGUAGUGUGUUACAACCACAAGAAUUUGAGGAAUUUGUUCUUCUAUCAUAAUAGAGGUGUAACAAAAGGCAAUAUCCUAAUUUUAUUAAAAAUUACACAUAAUCUACUAACACCUAAAUCAAAGCUUGCAUUUAGUUUAGGCGGUAGGAUUUUGUCAAACACACGAUCAAGAGUGAAAGAAGACAUAUCAGAGGCUCUAAUAUAUUUGAAGGACUGAAAAUGUACGAAACUAUAUCUUCAGGAACUAAUUAAUAGUAUGAUGACCGAGGAGUUGCAGUGGAUCCAAG
rnacentral:lncRNA from 1 species